rnacentral:rRNA from 1 species
AUUGAACGCUGGCGGCAGGCCUAACACAUGCAAGUCGAACGAGGGGCGGGCGGGUGAAUAAUGUCUGGGAAACUGCGUGAUGGGGGGGGAUAACUACUGGACAGGAUAGAUAAUACCGCAUACCCUCAGAUGUGCCCAGAUGGGAUUAGCUUGGGGGUGGGGUAACGGCUCACCAAGGCCACGACCCCUAGCUGGUCUGAGAGGAUGAACAGCCACACUGGAACUGAGACACGGCCCAGACUCCUACGUGAGGCAGCAGUGGGGAAUAUUGCACAAUGGGCGCAAGCCUGAUGCAGCCAUGCCGCGUGUAUGAAGAAGGCCUUCGGGUUGUAAAGUACUUUCAGCGGGGAGGCGUUACCCGCAGAAGAAGCACCGGCUAACUCCGUGCCAGCAGCCGCGGUAAUAC